rnacentral:rRNA from 1 species
AUUGAACGCUGGCGGCAGGCCUAACACAUGCAAGUCGAACGAGUGGCGGACGGGUGAGUAAUGUCUGGGAAACUGCCCGAUGGAGGGGGAUAACUACUGGAAACGGUAGCUAAUACCGCAUACCAUCGGAUGUGCCCAGAUGUGAUUAGCUAGUAGGUGGGGUAACGGCUCACCUAGGCGACGAGCCCUAGCUGGUCUGUGAGGAUGACAAGCCACCCUGGAAUGGAGACACGGUCCAGACUCCUACGUGAGGCAGCAGGGGGGAAUAUUGCACAAUGGGCGCAAGCCUGAUGCAGCCUUGCCGCGGGUAUGAAGAAGGCCUUCGGGUUGUAAAGUACUUUCAGCGAGGAGGCGUUACCCGCAGAAGAAGCACCGGCUAACUCCGUGCCAGCAGCCGCGUUAAUUC